UCGCCGUCUGGUUUUCACAAACAAUUUCCAUUUAGGAAUAGGCUUGAAAAGGCUUCACAACAUAAGCUUUUAGAGAAGGUAGUUGCAUAGUGAUAUUGCAGUAUGGCUGCUGUUCCUGCUCAGCUCCCUGAUGAGUUUGGUCCUGGGCCCACUGACGAUUCGGUGUUAAGGUUUAUAAAAACACAUCGAGCGUGCGCUGUUUGGGAAG